UGUCCAGGGAUGGGAACCGAACCCACAGUGUUCCGCUUACCGGGCAGAUGCCAUGUCCACUAGGCUUCCCAUCCCUGGAC
rnacentral:tRNA from 1 species